ensembl:lncRNA
AAAGGGAGUCUGAGCAUCUUUUCACGUUUCAGAAACAAUGUUUCCUAUUUUGUUAGACACGUAAGUUUUGCACACCCAGUAAAUGUCUAUAGAGAGACGAUCCUCCUGGCGUGGGCAGGCGGGGGAGGCCCGGGGAGCACUGCAGUCGCCUGCCUGCUCAUGUUCUGGGCCCCAGGCCUCUCUGAUGUCCCAGCUCCGGGCCGCCCCCUGCUGCGCCCCCAAGGCCUGUGAAGCUCCUGCUCAGCUGCUUACUGCCCCCCGGACCCCGCCGUGACCGCCGGCCCAGAGCCAGGCCCAGCAGAGGGGGCUGUGCUGGCACCGUCAAGACCUGGUAGCAGACCCACAGAGGCCCCGACGUAAACCCAGACCCAAAUGUAAACCCGGGCCUCAGACGUCAACCUCGGCCCUGAGGUGGGCGGAGCUCCGGCCUGGAGAGGCGAUCCCGGUCUGCGGAGGGCGCGCAGAGCGAGGAUGGCGCCGUGGUCUCCAGAAGCGCCUGGCGGCCCCGUGCGUCCGGGGUCCGCCCCUCAACGGCGCCACGACCAGCACCCGGCACUCGCACCGAGACCCUCACGCCGAGACCCGUCUAUGUCCAGGGAGAGAUUCAAGACCUGGGAGAAAUUCUCCUGUUGGCUUUGAAGGAGUGAACCGCCAUUUUGGAGAGAGGCCCACACGUGAGGGAGCAGCAGGUGGUCUCUGUCAGCUGAGUGCCUGAGUCCAACAACUACAAGGGAAUAAAUUACAACAAUGACCACGUGUGCUGAGAAGAGGACCAGAGCCUCCAGCCCGGGCCAGCACUUGUAAUGCAGCCUCGUGAGGCCUGAGCAGAGGACCCAGCUAACCUGUACCUGACCCACAGAAACAUGAGAUGCCUCCACAGCGUGGCCUGAUGAACUGUGUGUAGGUCUGCACCUAGGAUCUGAACCCUCCAAUCCUGGGCCGCUGAAGCAGCGUGUGAACUUAACCACUACACCACCAGCCCCCUGGUACACAGCUGUAUAUUCCAGUUGUGAGUGCCUCUGGUUGUGGCAUGUGGGACGCUGCAUCAGCAUGGCCUGAUGAGGGGUGCCAUCUCCGAGCCCAGGAGCCAAACUGGUGAAACCCGGGACCGCCCAAGCAGAGCGGGCGAACUUCAACCCCUCGGCCACUGGGCUGGCCCCUGUUAAACUUUUUAUAUACAGAACCAUAUAGACUGUGUAUAAUGAGUUUUAUUCUUUUGUUUCAAAGGCUUAUAUAUUCCAUUUUGAUGUGUAUGCCUUGUUGGAUGAGCUUACACUUCAGUAAUAAACAGAAUAAAUAUGAUGAGAGAGGCAUCCUGGUCUUAGUCUCAGAUCUAGGGAGAAAGCUUUCAACAUUUCUCUAAGUGUGAUAUUUCACCUAGGUGUUUUGUACACGGCUUCCUUUAUCAGACUAGGGAAGUUUAACUCGAUUUUUAGGUUGCUAGUGUGAAUGGUUUUUCAAUUAUGUCAAUUUCACGUUUUUAAGGAUAUCUGUGUGUGUGUAUAUAUAUGAGAUCAGCAUAUAAUAUUUAUUCUUAUCAUGUCUCUGUUAAGAUUUGGUAUCAAAUUUUUGCUGGUAUGUAAAACUGGUUAGAACGUAUUUAUCAAUUGUCUAUUCUCUGGUCAAUUUUGGGAAAGAUUGGUAUCAUUCCUUCAUUAAAUAUUUGGUAGAAUUCACUAGUUUAGUGUUUGAGGUCUGGAGUUUACUUUGUGGGAAUAUUUUUACUAAUUAAUUCAAUUUAUUGAAAACUAUAUGAUGAUUUGGAUUUUUAUCUCUAUUUAGUCAGGCUUGGUAAAUGGUAUUUUUCUAAAGCUGAAACUAUUUAAUCUAUACUCCAAAAUUAGUACCAUUUUCCCUCACAUGUUAUCACCAUCUUUGUUGACAAAUUCGAGAUUGAUGAUGUACGUUUAUCGUUUCUAGUAUUGUUUCUGUUUUCUGUCUUUUUUCUUGAUCAGUAUUCCCAGGGGUUUAUCAGUUUUAUGAUUUUUUUUCCAAAGAGCUAACUCUAGAUUUUGCUGACUUGUCUAGAGCAUGUUUGAAUGCUGUUUCAUUGAUUUCUACCCGUAUCUUUAGUGUUUUAUCCUUUCUACAUUUUUUCUGAAAAUUACAUAAACAUCCAUCUCAACAAGUUUAAAAAGAGUAAGUUAUUUGAAAUCUUCAUAUUAAAAUUUUAAGGAAGCAUGUUUUCAGUCCAAAAUAUUUUCUAAUAUCCUCCAUAAUUACUUUUCACCCUAUGGAUAAUUUAGAAGUUCUCUUCUUAAUUUCUGAAUUUGUGAUGAGGUUGUAGACAUACUGGGUGAAUUUCAGAGUGGUCAGAGAAUAUACUGUGUAGGAUUUUAAACCUUUGAAAUGUGUUGAGCCUUGUCUGACAUUAUUGGAGGCAGGAAAUUAUAACAAUACCUUUGUAGAUGGUCUAGUCAUUAAAAAAAUAAGCAAUAAAUACAGAGGAAUAAAUAUAUUUAAACAACAUGUCUGGUGUCUAAAAGUUUAUGGAUUUUACAGAAACAGGAAAUAAGUAAGUAAAACAGAC